GAUUUAUGCUUGGUUAUAGUUAUAGUUUACGAAUUCACAUGUAAUCACAAAGAAAAAAAAAUCAGUUUUUGUAACAUGCUUGAAGGAAGGAACUCAAAACUAACACUACAACCUUGAGAGACUUGAGCCUAAUUACGUUCUUUGGAGAGUUAUUAAUCUGUGCAUUUUUUGUUUUCUAAAGUCGUUGCAUGAUCUCAUCAUUCUUUGCUUGGUUGCUACUUAGAAGGCGUUUCAUCAUUUAAGUUCCAAAUACUAGAACUUAUGCCCGUUCCAUUCAAAGCAUGACAUUGAUUUGCAUAACACAUAUUCAAGAUGAAGUUGUGUAGUGAACUAGAGCCAAAAAGCUUAUCCCGUGCAUAUUUUGUUUAAGUUUAACCCCGUUGAGCCUUGUUUAGCCUGUUUUCUUUGUUAAACCACAUUUCCCUUACCUAGCCUAGAUUAGGACUAUCCAUACCCUUGUUUUUAAAGCAUAAUGAAGCAUGACUUAAAAUGAAUUCCUUUUGAUUGUCCUUAUGCAGAAAACAAGUGUGGGGGAAUGAGAUUUUUGUGUUUAGUGUGCCAAAAGAAAGUAAUAAGGCACGGGUUAGAAAAGAAAAAAAAAGAAUAGAAAAAGUGUUGAAAAGAAAAGAAAAAGAGUUUGAAAUAAGUGAGGAAAGGCUCACAAGUGUUGUUUGUUGUAGAAAGGGUCCAAAAAGUUGAAAUCGGCCCUAAAAAGUUGAAUGAAUAACCCCAUUGUGUUUAAAGUUAGUUGCUGCAUUCAAAGGGAAUUCUAAGCAUCAAUUUCAUUACUUUGCUUAUUAUGCUUUAAAAACGUUUGUUUCCUUACCUUUCAUUGUUAGCCAAUCACCCCUAACCCCGUUACACCCCUUAACUUCAAUCUCGAGUGUUAUGUGUUUCAAUAUGUGGAGUUUGGGAUUGGUACGAGCAUAUGGUGUCCCUGGUUCUCGCAUCUAAGUAGUAGCAUUCCAAUCAUGAGAUCAUAUCUAUACAUGCUUAAUAACUCCAUAAAUUGCUUUCUUUGCUAUAAACAUAUGUGAGUGUUCGUUUUCAUGUUUACAUCAAUCUUCUCACAUACACCUAGUGUAGGGUGUGUAGUCAGAAAAUCGGAGUGAAAAUAAGAGUGUAUCUUGUAAGGAAUUGAGCAGAUUCUCUAAGGCAUGUUACUACAUUCAAAACAUAGUUUUAAUUGGUUAUAUGUGAACUAGUAUGUGGUGACUAUAAUUAAGUAUUUGCUCAAGGGUGGGGAAGGCCAAAAUAUGUGGUUAUGAUGAUCUUUUGCAUGUCAUGUUGCAUUGAAAAUCCCUAAGGUAAAUAUUGGAAGGUUCAGGUUUUGUUUUGUUCUUAUGUUUUGCUCGAGGACUAGCAAAAGCUAAGUGUGGGGGAAUUUGAUAGGAGCAUAUUUAUGCGACUUAGUAUGUUUGUUUUCGUGCAUUUAUGUUCUUAGUUCUUAGUUAUGUUAGUAGUUUAAGCCAUUUUUGGGUGUUGGUAGGUUCUAUGGGCCAAGGAUGCAAGAAGAUGCAUUUUGGAGCAUUUGGGAGCAUUUUUGGGCCAAGAUUGGAUGGUGCAAACAUGGAGACAUGAGGAUGGACGAAUUUGAAGUCAAAUGAGGCUAGGAACAUGCUAAAAAUGUGGUGAAACAAAUACAAAGUGCAAGAAGGGAUAGGUUUCUAGAAGGAUUGGCCAAAACUUCACUAAAAAACCUCAAUGCCGUGGCUUUUACUUCAAAGCAACCAGAAAUUUGAGUGGAUGAUGCAAUGCUUAACUCACCAUGACAUGUGAGUGGAUGAUGCAAUGCUUAAGUCACCAUGACAUGUGAGUGGAUGAUGCAAUGCUUAGCUCACCAUGACAUGUGAGUGGAUGACUCAAAACCUACCCCAACAACAAUUCUCCACCAUUGCCGUGAGUUUACCUACCCAUUCCACCAGAAAUUUGUGCUUAAACAAGUCCAUCCUCUCCCUAUAAAUACCAUGCAGCAACCUCAUUCAAUUCAUCCAUAAAUUAACCAUUCUCCAAGCCUUUCCUUGCCUCUCCUACAUAUCUAAACCCCUUCCCAUCCAUUC
rnacentral:lncRNA from 1 species